rnacentral:rRNA from 1 species
AUGCAGGUGAGAUUGUAUGCUCAAGUCAGAUCCUAUGCAUGGGAGUCAAUGCAGUAUGUUAGCCGAAAGCAAAGUGAGAAACGACCUGAGCCUGCAUGCAGAUGGGCCAAGCCGGAACAAAAUGUACUGAAAAUUAAUACAGAUGGGUCCUUCUGUAGUGCCACUCGGAGUGGAGGGUGGGGCUUUGUUAUUCGAGAUGUUGAUGGUGAUGUCCGAGGUGCAGGUGCAGGUGCAGGUCGUAUCAGUCAUGCUUGUGGCGUGGAGCAAGCGGAAGCUUGUAUGCAGGCAAUUAGUGCGGCUGCAGACUGGGGUAUGCAAAAUGUCAUGAUUGAAUGA